GCCCGCUUGGCUAAGUGGUAUAGCGUGUCACUAGUAAAGAUAUCAUUCACAAAAAUAUUGUUAUCUAUCGUGUCAUGACAAGAUCAGCGGUUCGAUUCCGCUAGUGGGCA